UGGGAUGUAGCUCAGUGGUAGAGCACUUACCUAGCAUGUAUGAAUCUCUGGAUUCAAUCCCUAGUUCUCUAA
rfam:Fukomys damarensis contig122021, whole genome shotgun sequence.